rnacentral:rRNA from 1 species
CGGACGGGUGAGUAAUGUCUGGGAAACUGCCUGAUGGAGGGGGAUAACUACUGGAAACGGUAGCUAAUACCGCAUAACGUCGCAAGACCAAAGAGGGGGACCUUAGGGCCUCUUGCCAUCGGAUGUGCCCAGAUGGGAUUAGCUAGUAGGUGGGGUAACGGCUCACCUAGGCGACGAUCCCUAGCUGGCCUGAGAGGAUGACCAGCCACACUGGAACUGAGACACGGUCCAG